UCAUUUUAUUGACAUUUGAAUUUUAUAUUGCAUAAAUUAAAAUAAAUUGUUCCAUUGAAUUUCAUUUUAAAGCAAAUCCAACAUAACCGUUUCGUUUAUAUACAUAUCUUUAUUUGAUUUCGGUAAUGUGUGAUUGAAGAACUACUAAAAGAGUCGAUUGCCAAAAGGGCUUAUAAACUAUACCAAAAUUUACAGAAUUGGAUACCGAUAUUGCGACUCAGAAGAACAGAGUUCAUAACAGAAAGCAGCAAGUGGAGAAAUGGAUAAGAAGAUUUAUUUGUCUGCCACGAUUUGAAAACAAAUGUACAGACAUUUUUAUUGCAAGAGCUUGCUUAGUGAUAGAGCUAAAUGAACUCCAGUUAACUUAGAUAUGUGAGAUCAUAUUAAUGACAAAACUACUGAGAAACGAUAGGCUGUCUCUCUACUAAAAAUAAUUUAACUACAUUUCACAAAAAGCGAAUAAAUUCUCCCCACUUUUCUUUCCUUCGCAAAUACAACCUUUUGUAACGCAGUGUCAAAACUUUGCUGUCAUUACUUACUAAACCUUUUAUAAUUGAAUCAUGCCGAUAGCCCAACACAAUUUCUAACAAGUAAUGAAAGGCUAAGUUCGGGUGCAACCCAACAUUUUAUACUCUCGCCAUUUAUUGAUGAAAUUUAUUAAGUUAACCCACAAUUUGACCAAUAUACUCGUCCAAAAGUCCAAUAGAAUAACGAAAAUCAUCAUAUAUAGUACUUGAGGGCGGAGGUAAUUUCUGAAUGAUUCUACCCAUUUUCAUCUCCAAGGUGUAAGGGGAAUAGGCAUAUUGGGCAUAGAAUUUACUUCUAAAUUGCAAAUCAAUGAAUCACCAGUCUGCAAAAUUGCCAAAUAGAGCGCAAUAGCGAAGAUUCUCCAAAUUUGCAAGUUGAUAAUUUGGGACGAACGCACAAUGGUCCACAAGAAGUCGCUGGAGACACUGCACAGGACUUUAAAAGAUUUACACGACAACCAUGAUGGAGACAUAAUUCUGUUUGCAGGCAGUUGAAGAAUCGCUAACUAACGACUAACAUAGGAGUGUUUUUGCAACAAGAUCAGACUGCGAUUGUAGAAGCAGUUUCUAGAUAUUGGAAAUGGUAAGGCAGAUGGAUUAAUAACAUAUCCAACAGAUUUCUGUCACUCCUCAAACUCGAAAGAGGAGCUUAUUUACAACAAUACAUAAAUCAACAAUAUAAUAGGCUGAGUGAACGACCAAUAUUGGUGGCAAAAAAACAAAAAUGUGAUAGACGUUAAUGGGACAAUUUAGAAUUUCGUUCCAAGCAAACUGACAUAGCUACAACUAUCCCAAACAGUUUUUAUAAUCAUUUGAAUUGCCUGCGCAAUCACCACUUAAUUUGCAAUUAAAAAUAACACCACUCGUCGUUAUCCUGUAUAACAUAUAUCAACCUCGACUUUGCAGAGGAGCAAUAUUGGAUGUGAUGAAGCUAAUUACCUUUGUAACUUACUCAUUUGUUGUAUAUUAUAUAAGAAUUUAAAAUACAAAGUGUAACCAAUUGUGUUGAUUUGCGCUUAAUGCAGAUCUACAAUAAUGUUCCUGCAAGACGGAGGUAACAAACUGCACAAACACAAUCAAACUUUUUCAGCUUUUUACCUAUACAAUUACAACAUUUACAUUUGUUUACAAAUCCCAAUUGAAUGGGAGAAGCCUUAAGUUAGAACGAGAAAAAAUUAUCGCUUCUCUAAGCUUAUUGAUAUAAUAACAUGAUAUAAGAGGAAGAAAUAAGACACUUUUUUCAAAAAGAUUUUUCAUUGUAGCAGUAAUUAGCCAUUUUGUGAUUGGCGUGUUAAGAGAAGCAAUACAACGGAAAGGGUUUGUAAAGCUGAGCUGUUUGAGAUCUCGACGCUUAAAAACUCUUGCCUUUCAUGACUCGGCAAAUUCUGCUCGUUUGCGGAUUACGCCCCACGCGUCGGUUGGGUUUAAUCGUUUGUGUUUAUAAUAACAUAUAAUUUAAUACGGGCAUUGAAAUAUGUUUAUUUAUUUAUUGGCAAGAAUGCGGGACGGGUGCUACAACCAUAACCUUUACUCAAUCGGAAUUGGUACUUGACUUUAAAGAAGAUGUACCGUAGUCAAAUUGGAGAGUUUUUACGUGUUUGGUGUGUUGGUCUGAAAGCGUCAGACAGAUUUGCCUUUUGUUCGAGUUUCCCACAACUACAGUCGCUGAUUAAAUGUGUUGAGACAGACUAUUUUUUACAUCAAAUGGAAUUAUAUCCGACAUUUCUGAAGCUUUUUUAGGCAUCGCAAUGAUCUAACGCAAAUCCUGGUAAAAAAGCGCCUCAAAAUCAUGCAUUAAUCAGCAAUUGUUGCCAUCAAUAGAUAUUGCAGUAAUUGAUACGAUUGUACUAAAUUUAAAAUCUAAAAUAAAUUUAAAUUUGUAAUGGCUUAAAAUGUAA